UUCGAACCCCACAGCCUGCAUU
rnacentral:sRNA from 1 species